rnacentral:pre_miRNA from 1 species
AAUAGGAGCAUGGCAAAUUAGAUUUUUCCUUUUGAUUUUCAACUUUUUCUCCUGAAAAAAUUCAAAACCAACUAAAAAUACUAAAAUUAGGAGGAAAACUAUGAUUUGUCAUACUCUUAUU